ACAAAAUUUAAUGUUCUUUAUUUUUUUGUUAGUUGUUAAUAAUAACAAUUAUUUAUUUAAUGGAAAAAAGAAAAGAUUUAAAUAAAACGCCAUUUGCUAUCUAUAUUAACUAAGCAUUUACAUUUCGUGCAGUUGCAUCGAUUAUCUGAUCAUCGGAAUGAUGUUUUUAAAGUGAAAGAAAAAUUCCACUAUUUGUAUCAUUUAUGUUUAAUAUUAGACGAUGUGAUGACUUACCAUUUGUGUGUACUUACUCUGCUACAUCUCGAAUAUCUUUUUGGAAAGUUACUGAAUCAAUCACAUAGACAAGUCCUUUUGCGGAUAAUUUGAAUUGAUCAAAAAAUUUAUAACGCAGACGUUCAUGUCCAGGUAUAUCAACAAUUUUCAAAGAACGCUAAAUACACCAACAACUUUAGAAACCUAUGUUUUUGAUGUAUGUGUUUUAACAAAUUUGGAACAAAGUAAAUGUGCAUAUAUCAAUGUUUUACCAGCAUCACUAAGACCAGUUAAUAAUAUACUAUUUCCUAUAGAUCUUCUUUUAUGCCAUAUGGCAAAUAAUACUAUACAAAAGAAAUGAACAGAAUCUUAUAAAAAAGGUAGUAAUGUUUAAAAUUGAGCUAUUACUAUCAAAUAAAUGGCUUUACAAACUUAAUCUUAUAAAUAUUAGGAUAAAAGCCUAAAAAAUUUUUACACAAAAAUGUACCUAUUUUUAUAUUAUGUAUACAACUAUAAUAUUAUGUUUGUUUCAUUACUUGCAGCUAUAUUUAUAAUGUUUAUUAAUUACUGUGGCUAUAAUGAUAUACAUUUUUUUUAAAAAAAUAAAUGUGGUAUUUAUAGAAUGUUACAAUUGAAACUAUGAGACUGUGAAUAUUAUUUAUAAAUAUUAGUAAAAAAUAUAAAAAAAAUUGAAUAUAUGUGCGCUUUAAAAAAAAAAAGACAUCCUAUUAUUAACUCUAAUAAUGAUGUAAAUUUCAUGUUGUAUAUAUAAUUUACAAUAAUUUAUAUGAAAAGUUUUUAAGUAAACAUAUUUUUAAUUUUAUUUGCUACAUGAAAAAAAACUGUAAUGUAGUUUUAAAUAAUGUAAUAAUAAAAAUCACAAAAUUUA